UACGGAGGGUGCGAGCGUUGUUCGGAAUCACUGGGCGUAAAGCGCGUGUAGGCGGUCUGGCAAGUCUGGUGUGAAAGCCCGGGGCUCACCCCCGGAAGUGCACUGGAAACUGCCAGACUCGAGUCCCUGAGAGGAGAGUAGAAUUACUGGUGUAGCGGUGAAAUGCGUAGAUAUAAGGAGGAAUACCGGUGGCGAAGGCGACUCUCUGGACGGUGACUGACGCUGAGACGCGAAAGCGUGGGGAGCAAGCAGG
rnacentral:rRNA from 1 species